GGGUUGCUAACUCAACGGGUUGCGUAACUCAACGGUAGAGUACUCGGCUUUUAACCGACUAGUUCCGGGUUCGAGUCCCGGGCAACCCA
rnacentral:tRNA from 1 species